GAUGAACGCUGGCGGCGUGCCUAUUACAUGCAAGUCGAGCGAAUGGAUUAAGAGAUUGCUCUUAUGAAGUUAGCGGCGGACGGGUGAGUAACACGUGGGUAACCUGCCCAUAAGACUGGGAUAACGCCGGGAAACCGGGUCUAAUACCGGAUAACAUUUUGAGCUGCAUGGUUCGAAAUUGAAAGGCGGCUUCGGCUGUCACUUAUGGAGGGACCCGCGUCGCCUUAGCUAGUUGGUGAGGUAACGGCUCACCAAGGCAACGAUGCGUAGCCGACCUGAGAGGGUGAUCGGCCACACUGGGACUGAGACACGGCCCAGACUCCUACGGGAGGCAGCAGUAGGGAAUCUUCCGCAAUGGACGAAAGUCUGACGGAGCAACGCCGCGUGAGUGAUGAAGGCUUUCGGGUCGUAAAACUCUGUUGUUAGGGAAGAACAAGUGCUAGUUGAAUAAGCUGGCACCUUGACGGUACCUAACCAGAAAGCCACGGCUAACUACGUGCCAGCCGCCGCGGUAA
rnacentral:rRNA from 1 species